rnacentral:rRNA from 1 species
GACGAACGCUGGCGGCGUGCUUAACACAUGCAAGUCGAACGAAGAGCGAUGGAAGCUUGCUUCUAUCAAUCUUAGUGGCGAACGGGUGAGUAACGCGUAAUCAACCUGCCCUUCAGAGGGGGACAACAGUUGGAAACGACUGCUAAUACCGCAUACGAUCUAAUCUCGGCAUCGAGGAUAGAUGAAAGGUGGCCUCUACAUGUAAGCUAUCACUGAAGGAGGGGAUUGCGUCUGAUUAGCUAGUUGGAGGGGUAACGGCCCACCAAGGCGAUGAUCAGUAGCCGGUCUGAGAGGUUGAACGGCCACAUUGGGACUGAGACACGGCCCAGACUCCUACGGGAGGCAGCAGUGGGGAAUCUUCCGCAAUGGACGAAAGUCUGACGGAGCAACGCCGCGUGAGUGAUGACGGCCUUCGGGUUGUAAAGCUCUGUUAAUCGGGACGAAAGGCCUUCUUGCGAAGAGUGAGAAGGAUUGACGGUACCGGAAUAGAAAGCCACGGCUAACUACGU